rnacentral:lncRNA from 10 species
CCCGGGGAAAGCCGUAGGGGCGCGCCGGCCCACGCGGGACCGAGUUCAGAGGACUCUGCACCGUCAGUUUCAGGGCCGACGUUUAUAGAGCGCUUCCCACGUGCCGCACGCGGUUCUAAGAGCUUGGCUUGUAUUAAUUCGUUUAAUCCUCCCAGCAACACUGUUAGGCAUUAUAAUGAUCCCAAUCGUAGAAGUCAAAAAACCGAGGUGCAGAAACAAAGUAACUUGUUCCAGAUCACGUAGGUGGUAAGUGCAGGGUAUUCUGGAGCAGGAGGGAGGGUGGAAAGCACAGAAAAAAAAAAAUGAACUGGGAAAAGCGUUGACGUGCUUAGUAUUUCAUACUGCAGGUUCCACUUUCAGAGCCAGGCUGCGAGCCUACAGGGUAGAGUAGGGGUGCCGGGCCCCCUGGUGUCCUGGCGUACUCGGGGGGAAGACAGUCGCCGGCCGCCGGGCUCCUGCCACGCUGUGGCGCGCGUGGAAGGUGAGGGUCCUCCGCUGUCCCGCCGCCUCCCACAGGGCGGCCCAGAGCCUGCAUCUUUUGCAAAGGGAACAUAGGAUGGAGAGAAAGAAAGUCCCGCCUGAAAUAAGCAAACGCGGUGGCGGCUUUGCGGUCGGCCACGUCCGCUAGGAACCCGCGAGGCGCCCUUGCGAGCUGCGCAGUCGAGUUUUCUUUCCACUGCACUUUCACGUUCUGCCGGAUGGGAUUUCGGGGGCAGAAGACUCCUCGAAUGCAGACCGGCUGUCUGUGGCUGGACCCCCAGUGCUGCAAAGGAAUCUGAUAUACCUGGAGGAACCAACCUCGAGGUCCAACCAAGGGAAACAUCCCCUCUCCUUCUCCCUCUCCCAGAGCUCCCUCUUUGCAGUGGAGCCCUAGAGAACCAACCCACAGCCCGAAAACACCCGGAGACCAGGGACCCCGGUCCUCAUAGGCAGGCUCACACUUGUAGACAAUGGACCCAUAUUUUCCUCAUUAAAGACAAACCCAAAUCCGCCUAUGAGAGAUUACCCAGGGAAUGAGAGAUCCCAAGUACCGUGAAACUUAGAGGGUGCCUUAAAACUAAAGUGUUUUUAUUGGAUUGAACCAAAAAUAACUAUAAAUGUGUGUAUGUCAGAAUGUUAAUACCUUUUUAUAACCGUUAUUUCACCUUUAUAAUAACUGUGGGAGGGGGCAUCAUUUUUUCUUACUUUUGUUUUCCUGAUCCCCAUUUUACCAUAAAACAGAAACAAGCCCAGAAACAUUAUUAAGUGACUUAAGGUAAUCAGGAGCAGGUGCACUUCUCAGACUGUAAACGAGGGCAAUGUGACCACCGCAUCGCCACUCAUCUGUGCAGGGUGGCGUUGGGGGUGAGGGAAAUGCUAAGAGCACAACAUGGAUUGUUGGGGGGCAAAAACAACAAAUAAAUCAAUAAACAACUAUUUGUGAAAUAUGUGUACGGAGUCCUCGGGGCAGGGGGCUGGAUAUAAAGCCAAACUUAUCUCCCAUGCUCCGUGGUCCACUCCCCAUGACUCCUUCACCUCUCCAGCCUAGUCUGAAAUUCUCCCUCAG